UGCUGUGGUGACCGGAAGAACGGAGC
rnacentral:piRNA from 1 species